AAUGAGAGUUUGAUCCUGGCUCAGGACGAACGCUGGCGGCGUGCCUAAUACAUGCAAGUCGAACGAAACUUUCUUACACCGAAUGUUUGCAUUCACCGUAAGAAGUUGAGUGGCGGACGGGUGAGUAACACGUGGGUAACCUGCCUAAAAGAAGGGGAUAACACUUGGAAACAGGUGCUAAUACCGUAUAUCUCUAAGGAUCGCAUGAUCCUUAGAUGAAAGAUGGUUCUGCUAUCGCUUUUAGAUGGACCCGCGGCGUAUUAACUAGUUGGUGGGGUAACGGCCUACCAAGGUGAUGAUACGUAGCCGAACUGAGAGGUUGAUCGGCCACAUUGGGACUGAGACACGGCCCAAACUCCUACGGGAGGCAGCAGUAGGGAAUCUUCCACAAUGGACGCAAGUCUGAUGGAGCAACGCCGCGUGAGUGAAGAAGGUCUUCGGAUCGUAAAACUCUGUUGUUAGAGAAGAACACGAGUGAGAGUAACUGUUCAUUCGAUGACGGUAUCUAACCAGCAAGUCACGGCUAACUACGUGCCAGCAGCCGCGGUAAUACGUAGGUGGCAAGCGUUGUCCGGAUUUAUUGGGCGUAAAGGGAACGCAGGCGGUCUUUUAAGUCUGAUGUGAAAGCCUUCGGCUUAACCGGAGUAGUGCAUUGGAAACUGGAAGACUUGAGUGCAGAAGAGGAGAGUGGAACUCCAUGUGUAGCGGUGAAAUGCGUAGAUAUAUGGAAGAACACCAGUGGCGAAAGCGGCUCUCUGGUCUGUAACUGACGCUGAGGUUCGAAAGCGUGGGUAGCAAACAGGAUUAGAUACCCUGGUAGUCCACGCCGUAAACGAUGAAUGCUAGGUGUUGGAGGGUUUCCGCCCUUCAGUGCCGCAGCUAACGCAAUAAGCAUUCCGCCUGGGGAGUACGACCGCAAGGUUGAAACUCAAAGGAAUUGACGGGGGCCCGCACAAGCGGUGGAGCAUGUGGUUUAAUUCGAAGCAACGCGAAGAACCUUACCAGGUCUUGACAUCCUUUGACCACCUAAGAGAUUAGGCUUUCCCUUCGGGGACAAAGUGACAGGUGGUGCAUGGCUGUCGUCAGCUCGUGUCGUGAGAUGUUGGGUUAAGUCCCGCAACGAGCGCAACCCUUGUUGUCAGUUGCCAGCAUUAAGUUGGGCACUCUGGCGAGACUGCCGGUGACAAACCGGAGGAAGGUGGGGACGACGUCAAGUCAUCAUGCCCCUUAUGACCUGGGCUACACACGUGCUACAAUGGACGGUACAACGAGUCGCAAGACCGCGAGGUUUAGCUAAUCUCUUAAAGCCGUUCUCAGUUCGGAUUGUAGGCUGCAACUCGCCUACAUGAAGUCGGAAUCGCUAGUAAUCGCGAAUCAGCAUGUCGCGGUGAAUACGUUCCCGGGCCUUGUACACACCGCCCGUCACACCAUGAGAGUUUGUAACACCCAAAGCCGGUGGGGUAACCGCAAGGAGCCAGCCGUCUAAGGUGGGACAGAUGAUUGGGGUGAAGUCGUAACAAGGUAGCCGUAGGAGAACCUGCGGCUGGAUCACCUCCUU
rnacentral:rRNA from 1 species